rnacentral:rRNA from 1 species
UACGUAGGGAGCGAGCGUUGUUCGGAGUUACUGGGCGUAAAGCGUGUGUAGGCGGCUUGUUAAGUCGGGUGUGAAAUCCCUGGGCUCAACCUGGGAAUUGCAUUCGAUACUGGCAAGCUAGAGUACGGUAGAGGGCGGCGGAAUUCCGGGUGUAGUGGUGAAAUGCGUAGAGAUCCGGAGGAACACCGGUGGCGAAGGCGGCCGCCUGGACCUGACCUGACGCUGAGGCGCGAAAGCGUGGGGAGCAAACGGG